GGGAACGAGAGGGACAAAGAACAAACGUAGAUCUCCAAACACAGCUAGGUGACUGGUGCGCGACGGGAAAAAUGCGCCGGGUAGAGCCUUGUAGAGCCCACGACCAAAAAUAGUUGGUCGUGGUAGAGCGACGUCCCGGGUUCGAUACCCGGACCAGGUGGAUUUUUUCGGUCGCGCACCAGUCACCUGCCUGUGUUUGGAGAUUUUUGUUUCUCCUUUAUCCCUCUUGUUCCCCUUCUCCGGGGAUUAUUCUCGUCGUUGCUAAAUUCGCUAAAUUAGCUGUUGAUUCAGACUUACCAGUAAAAGAUGACAACGAAGUUCAGUAACAAUGGCCGAACCACGGGUUGAACCGGUUGAACUAGACCCCGAAGCUAUUCAGCAGCCACCACCGCUUGUCAAGGACAAGUUUCCGCAGGAACCCCCACGGCGACGGUCAUGGUUUCCCAUCCUUGGCAUGAUUGCACUCAUGGCAUUGGUCAUCGUUCCAGUGGUCAUCUUCAUACUCAGCUUUCUCUCAAAAAGGAAGAAAAAAGGCACAUAGCUGGACGUUUAUUCUAACGUCCUUUGACCAACGAGCUUGAGUACCUUUGACGGGACAACGAGGAUGUUGGAAGACAAGUGCGACCAGCGCUCAAGCCCUCAAGUUCAAACACGUCAAGUUCCGAGAUGUUAAUAAUAUUGACUGCCUAUAAAGGUUGUAAACGCAGAGAUUUAAAUAAAACCACAAGAAAUUUCUUAAA
rnacentral:lncRNA from 1 species